ACUAGCAGUAAGAGUUUGAUCCUGGCUCAGGACGAACGCUGGCGGCACGCCUAACACAUGCAAGUCGAACGGCCCCUUCGGGGGCAGUGGCGGACGGGUGAGUAACGCGUGGGAACGUACCCUUUGGUUCGGAACAACUCCGGGAAACUGGAGCUAAUACCGGAUAAGCCCUUUGGGGGAAAGAUUUAUCGCCGAAGGAUCGGCCCGCGUCGGAUUAGCUAGUUGGUGGGGUAAAAGCCUACCAAGGCGACGAUCCGUAGCUGGUCUGAGAGGACGACCAGCCACACUGGGACUGAGACACGGCCCAGACUCCUACGGGAGGCAGCAGUGGGGAAUCUUGGACAAUGGGCGCAAGCCUGAUCCAGCCAUGCCGCGUGGAUGAUGAAGGCCCUCGGGUCGUAAAGCCCUUUUCCCAGGGAAGAUGGUGACGGUACCUGGGGAAUCAGCCCCGGCUAACUACGUGCCAGCCGCCGCGGUAAUAC
rnacentral:rRNA from 1 species